rnacentral:rRNA from 1 species
AUUGAACGCUGGCGGCAGGCUUAACACAUGCAAGUCGAGCGGGGAGAUGUAGCUUGCUACAUUUCCUAGCGGCGGACGGGUGAGUAAUGCUUAGGAAUCUGCCUAUUAGUGGGGGACAACAUUCCGAAAGGAAUGCUAAUACCACAUACGCCCUACGGGGGAAAGCAGGGGAUCUUCGGACCUUGCGCUAAUAGAUGAGCCUAAGUCAGAUUAGCUAGUUGGUGGGGUAAAGGCCUACCAAGGCGACGAUCUGUAGCGGGUCUGGGAGGAUGAUCCGCCACACUGGGACUGAGACACGGCCCAGACUCCUACGGGAGGCAGCAGUGGGGAAUAUUGGACAAUGGGCGAAAGCCUGAUCCAGCCAUGCCGCGUGUGUGAAGAAGGCCUUUUGGUUGUAAAGCACUUUAAGCGAGGAGGAGGCUACUUGGAUUAAUACUCUAGGAUAGUGGACGUUACUCGCAGAAUAAGCACCGGCUAACUCUGUGCCAGCCGCCGCCGUAA